GGGAUGUUAGCUCAGUUGGUUUAGAGCGCAUGCUUGACAGGCAUGGGGUCGCUAGUUCGAAUCUAGUACAUCCCA
rnacentral:tRNA from 1 species